ACAAGGUUUCCGUAGGGCAGAGCCGAAUGCCCAGCGGGUGGCAUGGGGUCUGUGAGCAGUGACAGGGGAGAGACGUGGGGACAGAGAAAGAGCUCCCAGUGGGACAGCUCCAGGCAGCUGCGAGAUGCUCAGGGAGUGCUAGGAAAGUGCCCACAGAAGCACUGUGGCAGGCUGGAUUCAGGCAACUCUCUUGUGGUCCUUCCUUGGAGAUGUCUUCCUCUGAGCAAGGGCAUCUUUCACCUCCUCUGCAGUCAGAUUUCCAGARAAGCAGAGCUGCCUCUCUCCUGCCACGUGCCCAUUUCCCCCUGCAARGCAAAGGGGCUGAGAACGACUGCCCUGGGAGGACACACUGUGCACUGGAGGUGCAAUCUGGGGAAGGUGCCCCUCUGUCUCUCUCUCUGCUUCCUUGGCAGCAGGGUCACAGUGUUUCUCCUUGUUUCCCUACCUCUCCUUUCUGCUCUUGAACUUGCUCUCAGGCUCUGCAAUGUGUUGGUUCAGCUACAAAUUCAGACACCCACCCUGAGGUCUUGCCAUGGAGGUGUCUGCAUAGGGGCGAGGUGCCCAAGACCUUUUCUCACCCCAGGGUGCUGAGCAAUGCAGUCGGAGGGGCUGGGGAAGGAGUUGACUCUCCCUUUAGGAGACCUUGUUUUCAGGACACAUGACUGUCUGCUUUGGGUGUCCUGCUGGGUUUGCAAGCUGCCUUCCAGAAGGGCACAGCUCUCCCAUUGCAUCUUAGCAGCACUGGAGAGGCAUUUCAAGAAGCUCAGGUCAUUCUAAUGCCACAAGAUGUUCCUGCGUGGUUUUGUACACRUGCAGCUGAAGUGAACCCUGCAUUUCCUCAGCCAGAAUGGGAGUGUUGAGAAUUUCCUCAGCAAUCAGCACUCACCUCACAGAGUCCUUGGUGUGAUCAUGUAUGUCAUGUGUGCUUUCUCCAUCACACCUUCACCCAGAGUUGAGAAAGAGAGCAGAGUUAGAUCUGUGCUUUGAAAACAGCCUCUCGUGACCUCAUCAGAGUCCAGUGUCUUUUUUAGAGUAACUGGUGUGUGAAAUCAUCCUCUGGGUAACACAAGUGUGAGCACAGGGCAGCUGGGAACAAGAUGGAUGGACCCAGCAGCACUCCUGAUUCU
rnacentral:lncRNA from 1 species